rnacentral:siRNA from 1 species
CUAGAACGGUACCAUCUGAUGC